UUUCGUUCCCUCAUGCAAGUCGAGCAAAGUUUACAAAUAAUCAUAUUAAUUAUACACAGCACUUCUAUUUGCGUUUCUUUCAAUGUGACUAUUUUUAAUUUGUGCUUUUUGUCUCCACAGAUCAAGCAAAGAACGUUUUAUUUCAAGCGUCUCAUCCCAGAAUAGUCAAUGAAGCAGCCAUGGUAGAGAUUCCAUGCAGUCAUAAUGAUAACAGCCUCUAUUUGAUGCUGUGGUACCAGCAAAAACAAAGCGGUGUAAUGAACCUGAUUGGAAGCAGCUACUCUGGCAAUGACCCCAGCUACGAGAAGCAGUUCAAUCAUGGGAUUGAGAUUACAAGAAAAGAUGUCUCCACAGGAUCUCUGGUUAUUCACAGUGUGAAUUUAUCAGAUUCAGCGGUGUAUUUCUGUGCUGCCAGUGCACAGUGA